rnacentral:rRNA from 1 species
GCAAGUCGAGCGCUCACUUCGGUGUGAGCGGCGGACGGGUUAGUAACGCGUGGGAAUAUACCCAAAGGUACGGAACAACAGUUGGAAACGAAUUCUAAUACCGUAUGUGCCCUACGGGGGAAAGAUUUAUCGCCUUUGGAUUAGCCCGCGUUGGAUUAGGUAGUUGGUGAGGUAAUGGCUCACCAAGACUACGAUCCAUAGCUGGUUUGAGAGGAUGAUC